AUUUCUUUGAUGCUGUAGCUCACUCUAUUUUGCACAGCAAAUGGGCCUUUCCUCUUUGCUGACUUCGGCAGCGCUUGUGUGCAUGCUCUGCAUAAACGCUGCCAGCGCAUCGAAGCAUACAUACCUGGGCGGUGAUGAGGUCACAGUCUUUGCUAGCAAAAUGCACCCGCACGGCAACACAUACGAGACCUAUCACUACACAUUAUUGCCAGGGUGCGCUUUGCAGGAAGAGAAGAAGUCACUCACUCUUGGUGAGCUUCUUGCAGGUGAGCGCGUCUUCACUUUAGCCACGGAUAUUCGAUUCAACCACAACACUAGCGAUAGGGUUUUGUGCAAACACAAAUUUAAUGUCUACGAAGCAAAGAUUUUGGCGUAUGUAAUCCAACGCAACUAUCGUUACGAACUCACUAUCGAUGAGCUACCAGUGUGGGGUGCGAUCGGCGACAAAAUCAGUGACAAUGAACUUUCGAUUUUCCUUCACCAGACAUUUUACAUUGGUGUGAACGGAAAUGAAAUUGUGAACGUCACGUUUGAGACGAGCUCACCAGCGAAAUUCGAAAUCGAUACCGUUUACACCUUUACAUAUUCGGUAGUUUUCGAGCCAUCGACCGUGGAGUACGCCAAUCGAUUUUCGACCGUAUUCGAAACGCGCUACGUCAGCUCACGAACGCGACUCGCCUCUCUUAUCAACACGAGCUUGAUUGUGCUGCUACUUUUUUCUCUCAUCGCACUCAUUCUUUCGCGAACGCUGCGCAGCGAGCACGCGAAAAUAGAAAGGGAGGCGCAGUUUCGUUUGGAAGGGCAGGACAUCAUCGACGAGUCAGGGUGGAGGUGCCUGUACGCGGAUGUAUUUCGGGUGCCGCGACAUACUGGCAUAUUUUGUGCCAUCCUUGGGUGCGGCACGCAGCUUCUGCUGCUGACAGCCUUGACCAUUUUUUUGUCUGUCGUGAGUAAUCAUCGUACCUCGAUGAGCCACAACUUGGUGACCUUUUCUGUGCUUGGCUAUGUCUUCACUAGUAGCAUUGCCGGCUAUGUUUCCGGAUAUCAGUUUAUGGGGUGUGGCUUUAUGGCACCGCCCAUGGCGUCGAAGUGGAUUCGCGCAUUUCAUGUCACUUUCCUCUUGGUGCCAGUGAUUUACACGACGGUCUUUUCCCCCACCUGGUUUGUUGCAAUGAUAUAUGGGUCUUCGAAACUUCCGUGCUUCAAAGGAGUCAUUAUUGUUCUGUGUUUGUGGGUCUUCGUUGCAUACCCGCUGUGCCUCGCCGGCGUUCUAUGCAGCCGCUACGUAUUUCGGCGAACGGAGCGGAGAAGAAAUAUCCCGCACGUCAAUCAAAUUCCACGCCUCAUUCCGCGGCCACCGCGGAAAUUGCUAGCACCUCGCUACCUCUUGUUGGUGAGUGGCAUCCUUCCUUUCAUCGCUGUCUUCGUGGAAUUCAGCUUUGUUUUCACUUCCAUCUGGUCACUCAGGCCUUUUCACUUCUACGGAUUUCUCACCGUUACAGCAAUUUUUUACAUUGUCGUAACCGCGUGCGUGUCGGUUGUUGCGACUUUUGUACUGCUGUCGACAGAGAACCAUUACUGGAAAUGGAUGUCCAUCGGCUUCGGGGCAUCCUGCGCAGCUUACACUUUUGCCUAUGCGGUCUUCUUUUAUCUUUUCAAGACCUCGAUGCAUGGACCGUUCAUGCUUGUGCUGUACUACUCGUAUUGCUUUGUGAUUAUGUUGUUUUUAGCUCUCAUCGGUGGAACGGUGAGCUAUUUCGCUGCCUCUUACUUUGUGAAGGCGAUUUAUGCGCAAGCGAAGAAUGACUGAGCUGAGAAAGCGAAGAGGGGCUUGCCAUUCGGGUAUGCCUGCGCGGUGGCGGCUCUGGAGAGGAAACUACGAUUGAUUUGCAUCUUUGAAGGAGCUACUUGCGAUGCUCCUACUGAUUCCCUCUGUUUCUCCUUUUUCGGAGCUGUUCUGAAAAUGUUUCGGGGGCCCUCCGCAAAUGGAAAAACAUAGAAAUCGAAGUUUUAGCUAGAUUCGAAUCGAAGAGCUUUUUGGUCCCUGCCUCCGUGUACCUUUUUUUUUUUUGAAGGCACAUCACAUUUUCUACAUCCACGUGUACGCGCGAGGGACUUGGCCCUUGCCCUGCCUGGUUCAAGCUUUGAUUCUUCAUGUUGGUCGAAAUUACUGAGGUAAUAGGCACCAAAGAUGCAGAUUCAAUGUGCUGAAGAAUACAGCUGUUUACUGGAAGUGGCCAGUACAGUACCUCUGUUUUGUCUAGCGGAAGCCACAGCAUAUAUAUAUAUAUAUAUAUAUAUAUAUAUUCCUGAGAUAGUGGCUACGCAAGACCAGAAAAAGGAAGCGUCGCCGUGGCUCGGUCUUUCGUAAUAAUGGAGAAUGAUUUUUAUGCGACUGAUUUUGAGCAGAAACGAAAACAUGC
rnacentral:misc_RNA from 1 species